UACUCAGCCUUUCUGUGCCUCAGGUCCCUCGUUUGUAAAAUGAGGGUAUAACAACAGUCCCUACCUCACCGGGUAUUUUGGAGGAUUAAAUGUGUAAAUGAAAACAUGCAGAGAACAUAGAACGCACCCAGCCAAUAGUAAGUGGUUGUGUUUGUUAUUUCAGGUUCCUUGGGCCCUUGCUCUGGACCUCGUGCUCUUUGGACCCUGCAUUCUCUGCUGUCUUGGAACUUGGAUACACCAAUUCUUGCCAAGACUAUGAGCUGUGGGAAGCUGGGACCAGUUGAUUGAGCAGCUAGCACAAACCAAAAGGACAUUGCUAUAACUCAAUUUAGAUGGCAGCAUUAUAUUGGGACGAAGCGUCCAAGAAGUUCCAGUCUUGCAAGGGCAAGAUUCCAUAAGAAAAAGAUAAGA